rnacentral:misc_RNA from 1 species
UGUAGCUAUGAAGAACUUGUUGCCACCUGUGCAUGAAAGGCUGCUGCAAGUGCUUGUACUAAGUUUUUUCCAAUGGAAAAACAGAAAGGGAAGAUGUUCACUUGUUAACAUGUAGAAUUUUGGUGGCAGUUGGCUGCCUUUGAACUGCAAACUUCCAAACUUUUUAGGUCAAUUUUUGUUCAAUUUACCAGUCCUGUGCCUGUCUAGAACAUUGCUUUAGUUUGCCCUUGGUCUUUAUUAUUUUCUUUAGCAUGUCCUAACCAAAUGGGUGUUGGUUGUAAAGCUUUGUUUGAAAAUUGUUUAGAAUCCAUUUUGAAUUUCAUUUCGAGAGACAUUACAACUGGAUUCUAAACAAUUUUCAAACAAAGCU